rnacentral:lncRNA from 10 species
CAAACACAGCCUAAGCUCAACUCCUCCCAACAAACCCCAUGAAAGCACUGAGCUCUGUAAAGAAGAGCCAAUUUCACUUCACAGAGAUCAGCCCGCCCUCCCUCUGAGAGUGUAUAACUGUGCUUCAACAAGCUUUGUUUCAAGCUUGCAUUUUGGUGUUAGUUUGCAUUUCUUUGCUCACUAUCACAAGAACCGAGACUGCUGAUCUAGAGCUCCAGCUCUGUUGAUCUCCUUGGCUGAAGGGUCCAUCCCAACUCAAGAUCCCAGAGGAAACCAGUCGACAGAGCUGUGAUUUGCCCUGUGAUUUGCCCUGGGCCUUCCCACAAUUCUAGAAACCCAUGACUUGACAUCAUUGCGCGGCCACCUGACUCCCAGCUGGCUUCAGCCUCUCCGUUUCAUCUCCCUCUACUCUCACUCUGCUGCUACCAAGUCAGACUUCUUUUCAGAAUGUCCUGUAUCAUUUUAAUGACUGGAGUGUGACUUUGUUCUCAGCACAAUGAGUAACAAAGCCAAAACACUGGAGAAUACGUUUACGUAUUCAAGAAAACCUCAGACAAGGAAGAAUGCUUUCAUAAUACAGUACAUUAAAAUCAGACGAAGCCUCGAAGGGCAGAAUCACCGACCCUGAAAAAUCAGAGUGUACUACAGAAGAAGACGACAGCGUUUGAGCACAUUUGUUGAAGCAGCCUCCUCUCCCUUAUGGUACGAUAAUCCCACACCGUUUUACCAUGCUCUCUGGCCUUCCCAGAACAUCAAUAAAAACUGCAUCCCCUGACUUUUCUUGGUGGUUUCUGUUAUCUUCCCUAAACUUUAAUUUAAUGUGAUCUUACUUAGGCAUUUCUCUUAGAGAGUAGGUCAUUAUAACGAAGCAUUUUUCACCCUCUGGGAAAGAGGUUUCCACAUAAGGGCCAGGCCACGUUUUCCCUUUCAUCCAGGGAUUCUACCAUAAGCAGCCUCUCAUCUUCACUUUUCCCAAAAAUUUUCUUAAAAUCAGUGUAUUUUUUUGCAGGACCGGAUAUCACAUUACAUUCUCUAGUUGGGGGUGGGGGGCGGGAUGGGAAGUGAGAACAAAGAACGAUAACUCCCGAAGUGAUUUUUUAAAAUGUAAACUUUCUUAUGAAGCAUAACAUAGACACGUGCCAACAUUAAGCGUACAGCUCCAUGAAAUUUUAUGCAGACACUCACUCAUGAAACCACAACUAGAACAGGAAAUAGGAUUUUGCCAGCACUCCUAUAAGGCACCUUGCAGUCGCUCCCCUCCCCUACCCCACUCCAGAACAUAACAAGCUCAUUUUCUGACUUCUAUCACUGUAGAUUAAUUUGCCGCUUUUCCAAACUUCCGUAAAUGGAAUCGGACAGUACAUACUCUUUGGUACCUGGCUCAAUAUUCUGUUCCUUGAGUGUGCUGAAGCAGUCAUUUGUUCAAUUUUAUUGCUGACUCAUAUUCUGUGCUAUGAAAAUGUAACAAUUUAUUUUUCCAUUCUACCACUAAUGGGCCUCUAGAGUCUUUCUACUAUUUGACCAUAAUGGAAAAUGCUGCAAUAAAAAUUGUUGUGCACGUCUUUUGAGAGCACAUGUACCUAUUUCUGUGGAUAUAUACCUAGACGUGUAAUAUCUGGGUCAUAAAUAGUCGUGUGCCUAUGCAGGCUUGCAGUGCCUCAUGAGAGCCUAGUUUUUGCAGUCUAAUUGUUAAAAAUAGCCAUAACUGAAAAUUAAGUUAUGUAAAC